rnacentral:rRNA from 3 species
ACUUAAAUUGAAGAGUUUGAUCAUGGCUCAGAUUGAACGCUGGCGGCAGGCCUAACACAUGCAAGUCGAGCGGUAGCACAGAGAGCUUGCUCUCGGGUGACGAGCGGCGGACGGGUGAGUAAUGUCUGGGAAACUGCCUGAUGGAGGGGGAUAACUACUGGAAACGGUAGCUAAUACCGCAUAACGUCGCAAGACCAAAGUGGGGGACCUUCGGGCCUCAUGCCAUCAGAUGUGCCCAGAUGGGAUUAGCUAGUAGGUGGGGUAACGGCUCACCUAGGCGACGAUCCCUAGCUGGUCUGAGAGGAUGACCAGCCACACUGGAACUGAGACACGGUCCAGACUCCUACGGGAGGCAGCAGUGGGGAAUAUUGCACAAUGGGCGCAAGCCUGAUGCAGCCAUGCCGCGUGUGUGAAGAAGGCCUUCGGGUUGUAAAGCACUUUCAGCGGGGAGGAAGGCGGUGAGGUUAAUAACCUCAUCGAUUGACGUUACCCGCAGAAGAAGCACCGGCUAACUCCGUGCCAGCAGCCGCGGUAAUACGGAGGGUGCAAGCGUUAAUCGGAAUUACUGGGCGUAAAGCGCACGCAGGCGGUCUGUCAAGUCGGAUGUGAAAUCCCCGGGCUCAACCUGGGAACUGCAUUCGAAACUGGCAGGCUAGAGUCUUGUAGAGGGGGGUAGAAUUCCAGGUGUAGCGGUGAAAUGCGUAGAGAUCUGGAGGAAUACCGGUGGCGAAGGCGGCCCCCUGGACAAAGACUGACGCUCAGGUGCGAAAGCGUGGGGAGCAAACAGGAUUAGAUACCCUGGUAGUCCACGCCGUAAACGAUGUCGAUUUGGAGGUUGUGCCCUUGAGGCGUGGCUUCCGGAGCUAACGCGUUAAAUCGACCGCCUGGGGAGUACGGCCGCAAGGUUAAAACUCAAAUGAAUUGACGGGGGCCCGCACAAGCGGUGGAGCAUGUGGUUUAAUUCGAUGCAACGCGAAGAACCUUACCUGGUCUUGACAUCCACAGAACUUAGCAGAGAUGCUUUGGUGCCUUCGGGAACUGUGAGACAGGUGCUGCAUGGCUGUCGUCAGCUCGUGUUGUGAAAUGUUGGGUUAAGUCCCGCAACGAGCGCAACCCUUAUCCUUUGUUGCCAGCGGUUAGGCCGGGAACUCAAAGGAGACUGCCAGUGAUAAACUGGAGGAAGGUGGGGAUGACGUCAAGUCAUCAUGGCCCUUACGACCAGGGCUACACACGUGCUACAAUGGCAUAUACAAAGAGAAGCGACCUCGCGAGAGCAAGCGGACCUCAUAAAGUAUGUCGUAGUCCGGAUUGGAGUCUGCAACUCGACUCCAUGAAGUCGGAAUCGCUAGUAAUCGUAGAUCAGAAUGCUACGGUGAAUACGUUCCCGGGCCUUGUACACACCGCCCGUCACACCAUGGGAGUGGGUUGCAAAAGAAGUAGGUAGCUUAACCUUCGGGAGGGCGCUUACCACUUUGUGAUUCAUGACUGGGGUGAAGUCGUAACAAGGUAACCGUAGGGGAACCUGCGGUUGGAUCACCUCCUUACCUUAAAGAA